rnacentral:rRNA from 1 species
AACGUAGGAGCCUAGCGUUAUCCGAAUUCACUGGGCGUAAAGCGCGUGCAGGCGGUUCGGUAAGUUGGAUGUGAAAGCCCUCGGCUCAACCAAGGAAGUGCAUCCAAAACUACAAAGCUUGAGUACUUAAGAGGAUCGCGGAAUUCCCGGUGUAGAGGUGAAAUUCGUAGAUAUCGGGAGGAACACCAGUGGCGAAGGCGGCGAUCUGGGAAGAUACUGACGCUGAGGUGCGAAAGCGUGGGGAGCAAACAGG